UUUUGCUCUAUUAUUAUGUCACCCUGACGGAGGUCGGGUGACAUAUUGUUAUUCUACGAUUCUUUUUUUAUUAUGUCACCCUGACGGAGGUCGGGUGACAUAUUGUUAUUGUACGAUUCUUUUUUUCUUAUUCUUAUUCCGCACUUUUUGUCCAGCUUAGUUCUUGGAACUGAAUGGACCAAUGUUGAUGGAACUAUAACAUAAUGUUAAUCACCAUGUGUAGUUUUGCACCUGACUUUGGAAUUAAAAAAAUGGCUGCCAUUGCCAUGGAAACAGCAAAAAUGUGAAAAAUAGAAAUG
rnacentral:lncRNA from 1 species